GCAUUUGUAGUCCAACGGUUAGGAUAAUUGCCUUCCAAGCAAUAGACCCGGGUUCCGCUCCCGGAAAACGCA
rnacentral:tRNA from 1 species